rnacentral:rRNA from 1 species
AGUGAACGCUGGCGGCAGGCCUAAUACAUGCAAGUCGAACGGCAGCACAGUGGAGCUUGCUCCAUGGGUGGCGAGUGGCGGACGGGUGAGGAAUACAUGGGAAUCUGCCCAGUCGUGGGGGAUAACGUAGGGAAACUUACGCUAAUACCGCAUGCGCCCUUCGGGGGAAAGCCGGGGACCGUAAGGCCUGGCGCGAUUGGAUGAGCCCAUGUCGGAUUAGCUAGUUGGCGGGGUAACGGCCCACCAAGGCGACGAUCCGUAGCUGGUCUGAGAGGAUGAUCAGCCACACUGGAACUGAGACACGGUCCAGACUCCUACGGGAGGCAGCAGUAGGGAAUAUUGGACAAUGGGCGCAAGCCUGAUCCAGCCAUGCCGCGUGAGUGAAGAAGGCCCUCGGGUUGUAAAGCUCUUUUGUCCGGAAAGAAAGCACUGGGUUAAUACCCCGGUGUCCUGACGGUACCGGAAGAAUAAGC